CUUCCUGUAUCUUUGCUGAUAGGGGAGACACAGGAAGGCUUUGCCUUAAGGCACUGCUGGAGAAGGAUGGCACCUCCACCAGAACCUAUGAUGCAGCAGAGAACUAGCACAACCUCCCUGACCUCUCACAGAUGCCAAUGAGGUGAGCAGCACUCUUCCACCUUGCCCUUCCGCUAAGAUGUUCUACCUCACCUUGGACCCAGAGCAAUGGACUCAGCUGACCAUGGCCUAAACCUAUAAAACCGUUUGCCACUUCUUUCCCAGAUCCUGCAAAGUACUGGAGACCAGUCCAGGCCUGCAGAUGGCCCCGCCACAGUUCAAGGAGAUGUGUUUUCACAGUACCCUGAGAUAAGCCAAAUUCCAGUUUGCUGGCCUCUUCCCCUUUAGCCCCCCAGAUCUGUGUUUGUGCAGAAGCCCAGAAGACAGGAUCAAGGCCCAGGAGCCUACAGCUGGUGGUGUGUGGAUUCCAGCAAGGGUGAGGAGAGGCGGCAGGGCAGGUCCAGAGAGUGGAGGGAAGUGAGGGGAGGCAGCAUAAUGCUUUGGGGCCCAGUGCUAACAGAUCACAUGUGAUGUUUCUCCCCUCAAUGUUCUUUGCUCAGUCGGAAGUUUCUGGGACUGUAAUAAGCUUUAGUUUAUACACAACCAGCUGCAUUUUUCUACUACUGUUUGUGAGAAGGAAGCCAACCCAGCAUCCUCCCUGCUCCCUUUGGCCUCAGCAGUGGCUUCAAGCUGGGAUCCUGUGAGAGCCAGGAAGGCAUAGUCCACAGGACAGAUGAAUCACAACCGGACCUUCACCCCCUGGUCUGGUCCUGAUAGACCCUGACACCACCACCCAUCCCCAACCCCUCCAAGGGUCUGACAUUGAUUCAGAAGGUUUCCACACAGCACGUUCUACACUUGCCAACACCCCUCAUUGCACCCUACUAUAAAAUGCACAGAUAGAGGGAUACAGAGUUUGAGAUGGAGACCAGGCAGUGCAGAGGGAACUAGGUAUUUGUAUUUGCAUGUGACAUCCUCUAGAGACUGGGUAUGCAUGACUCUUCCCAUUCCACACUCAAUACCAUUCUCAAAUCUCUGCUCCCAGGAAGCCUCUCCCAAGAUGGCCAGGCUGAAAAAGAACAGGCCCCAUCUGUGACUUGGGAAAGAGUGGCCUAUGGACCCAGGGGGUUGGACAGAGAAGAGGGAUCCAAACAUAGUUCCUGAAUCCAGACAGCUGUGAAAGAAACCUCACCAGACUAUCUUGGAUACAAAAGAAAGCAAAACUCUGGCCCUGUAACUGAUAUAGGAUGGGCCAGACAAUACCCUACUGUGUAUUAUACUAAGGGACCUUGUAACCCUAGAGUACCUGGCACCCAAUCACUCUGCUGCUACCAGGUCACAAAGGCAGUGCACAGAGGAGAAAGGUGUCUCUUAGCUAAAGCAGGGCCAUACUUGCCUUCUCUGGUCUAGGCCAGAGGAGAUGACCCUAACUCUCCCACCUCCUUCAAUUCUAAUUAAGCCCUUUUGGAGAUGCAGCAGGGUAAGAAUCUAGCCAAGCUGAAAACAUUCCCCUCAAGGCUGACUGGCCUAGUGGUAAGCUCUGGGAUCCUUGGAGGCAGAAAUACAAGUCCCUAUCUGAGUGUACAAGUCACACAACAUUUCUGUGAUUCAGUUUCUUCCUUAUAAUCAGGACAAAGAACUCAAUUCCUUAAGUGUGUUAACCCACAUAACAGUUGGAGUGGACCUGGCUCAAUAACAGCAGCUGCUAAGCUCUCAAAGGCUAUGAGGGCGUGAGAGGUAGUUGGAGAAGAAGAAUGGAGGCUGGAGGCUUCCCUGUGGACAUUGCCCCCACCCCUCAUUGCCUUAAUUCUGCUGCCCAGCUCCUACUGGAGGCAAUAAACCUGGUUUGAAACCCAGUUCUGCCUGAGGCUGGCUGAUUGGGCAGCCUUGAACAAGUGACUCACCUAAUUGUCCUGAGCUGUAGCCCUUGUCCCACCUGGCCCGACCCUGUAUAUGAGCACACCUGACAGCCAACAGACCCUGAGGGGAAUGGGGGUACCCUUCCUUGUUCUGUGUGAGUCAGGACAAUGCAGGCAGACAGGGGUCUCCCUGGAUUCUGAUCAGAGAGAAAGCAAUGAUGUCCAUGAGGCCUCAGGGUGAUAGGGAAACAGAGGAUACCAGGAGUGUUGUAGCUUUCACUCUGGGAGAAAGUUGGAAACUUGGUGAUCUCCCUGCUCACUGGCAGACUCUUCUGAGGCUGGGCUAGGCUCCUACCUUGAAGAAGGUGGUGUUGCAGAGUGGCUCACUGGAAUGGCAUGUGAUACCCUCCAGGGAGAGAAAGAUGAAUAGCACUUUCAGGCUUUAAUAAAUCACACACACACACACACACAUGGCCAGCCCAGCCACCUAGAGACAGGUGGACUUGGCAAUCAUUUGAUGCCCUAAAUGACAGCAUCUCCCACAUACCCAGGGGCACAUAGUUGGCCAAAGUUCUUCCAAGAAGGCUCUCAUGAAAAGGAACCCAUGCCUGAGCAGCACACAUACACACACCUGCAUGCCCAUGCCUACUAUUGGGUGUGGCUGCAGACUGAUAUCUGUCCCUGAGAUCUAGGUGGGGCCCCUGGAUGCAGAAUGCCCAGUAGAUUGCCACUGGGACAGGCCCAGAAGCUUAUCUGCCCUAAGCCCUUCUCUGCAGGGAGAGUAGAAGGAGGGAGGAGGAGCCUGAGUGAGAAAACAAACUUCAGACUCAUUAUCCUGCCAGGCCCCAAUCUCUGCUCCCAGCACAAUUAAAGGUCUCUAAUCCAGAGUGAAAAGCAAACACAAGAUCCCCUCUUGUCCCCCUGCUUCCUCUAAUCAGGGAUUUGGGCCCUGGCUCCUGUUUUCAAUACAAAUAUUCAAUUAAACUUUCCUGGAGUUUUCAGUAAUUGGGUCCCAAAGAGGUGGGCAGUCCUGCAGAUAACAUGCGACAGACCCCAGGGCAGUCCCAAGAAAUGCAGACAUACCUGGGGACAGAGCAGCAGGCAAACAGGGAGAAAGAACAGAAAAAGAGAGGUACCCAGAUUGCCUCUGAUAAUCAGAAAACACUUCCAGAGAGUUCUAUGCCCACCAACUCUGGCUUCCUCUGAGCUGGCCUAAGAGAGGAAGUGAAUCUUCAAAACAGAUUGUGGACCUGCUGAGACCUACUUGUCUUGGUCACAGCAGCCUCUUCUAGUCUUAGCUCUAAUCCCAUCAAUUCUGAGUCCAGAGGGGCCAGCAUCAUCUCCCAGGCCUGGGUGUGUUUAAAUCAAAACAUUCCAAUCAGUUCCACCACCAAAUCCUUUCAGAUUCUUCCACCUUCAGUAGAAAUUGCUGCUAGAAAUAGUCAUUCCUUUUCCUGCAGUUGAAUGGCUUCAAAAGCAGAAGUUUCUCCAAUUCCAAUGGAAAGCCUAAGAAAAGAAAAGUCUGGUCCAUGUUCCCCUGCAUUUUAGGGCCUGAGCAUGCCCAGAACAGGGUGUCUGGGGUCUCCAGGUUAUUUCCUGCUGGUUGCCUCCAGUUGAGGUCAGAGAGCAGAGCCUUCAAGGGCUCAGCCCCAGUUCCAAAACUGAGCUGCUGUAUCACAAGGGAAAGAAACUUUGCUCCUCUUCCAACUUCCAGAGAUCACU